rnacentral:rRNA from 1 species
CCCUAGUACUGGAUAUGUAGAUAAUUAGUAUUAGUGAAAUUUAAUAAUUUUGGCGGUUAACUGUUUAUUAGAGGAGCUUGUUUUAUGGAAAUGGCUCUUUGUAUUUUGUUAAUGGAAGAUUUAUUCAUCUCCGUUCUUAGAUAAUGGAUUAUUAUAAUUAUUGUUGAUAUUUCAGGUCAAGAUGUAGUUUCUAUUAAAAAGAAUUAGCUACAUUUAUAUAAUAUUGGAUUAAUUGAGAAGAAGUUUUUUAGGAAAUUGAAUUUAGUUGUAAUAUUAAUUAGAAAGUUAAUAUGAAAUUUACUGGUUAGUGU